rnacentral:rRNA from 1 species
UGGCGGCCGCGGGAAUUCGAUUCGUAUUACCGCGGCUGCUGGCACGGAGUUAGCCGGAGCUUAUUCUCCCGAUACUGUCAUUAUCAUCUCGGGUAAAAGAGCUUUACAACCCUAAGGCCUUCAUCACUCACGCGGCAUUGCUGGAUCAGGCUUUCGCCCAUUGUCCAAUAUUCCCUACUGCUGCCUCCCGUAGGAGUCUGGGCCGUGUCUCAGUCCCAGUGUGGCUGAUCAUCCUCUCAGACCAGCUAAGGAUCGUUGCCUUGGUGAGCCUUUACCCCACCAACUAGCUAAUCCGACCUAGGCUCAUCUGAUAGCGCAAGGCCCGAAGGUCCCCUGCUUUCUCCCGUAGGACGUAUGCGGUAUUAGCGUUCCUUUCGAAACGUUGUCCCCCACUACCAGGCAGAUUCCUAGGCAUUACUCACCCGUCCGCCGCUCUCAAGAGGUGCAAGCACCUCUCUACCGCUCGACUUGCAUGUGUUAGGCCUGCCGCCAGCGUUCAAUCUGAGCCAUGAUCAAACUCUAAUCACUAGUGAAUUCGCGGCCGCCUGCAGGUCGACCAUAUGGGAGAGCUCCCAACG